rnacentral:rRNA from 1 species
UCUUCCAUUCCACCCUGAACGCGCCCGAUCUCAUCUGAUCUUGGAAGCUAAGCAGAGUCGGGCUUGGUUAGUACUUGGAUGGGAGAAUCACUACAUAAAUCAAGACAGUUGCAGAA